CAGACGCUGACCAGAGAACCCCCCUGCUCGUGUGUUAUAGGAGCUACCGCGUGGAAAUUGUUUUUUUUUAUGGAUACAAUUGUUGCUGGAUACUGAAGUGCCGAGUGCCCGCGGAAGCCUCAGGAAACCCCGUAGCCUUGUUAGCACAUUGUGCCCUGUAUCGGUCAGGUUUUAUGUUGGGAUCAAAGUCCGAAUCGCAGACGUGCAGAGGACGAACAGAUCAAGAUUCCCAGUACUGGAUGGCGAGCCCCAGCCCAAGAGUCAAAUGAACUGGUAGAUUGUAGCCCGACUGGUUAUAAACACACUGAAGACUGAGUGAACCUAAAGAAGCAAGAAAAGACUAAAGGACUAUA